rnacentral:rRNA from 1 species
GAUGAACGCUGGCGGCGUGCUUAACACAUGCAAGUCGAGCGAAGCAAUUUAAAGGAAGUUUUCGGAUGGAAUUUAGAUUGACUUAGCGGCGGACGGGUGAGUAACGCGUGGGGAACCUGCCUCGUACUGGGGGAUAACAGUUAGAAAUGACUGCUAAUACCGCAUAAGCGCACAGGAUGGCAUCAUCUGGUGUGAAAAACUCCGGUGGUAUGAGAUGGACCCGCGUCUGAUUAGCUAGUUGGUAGGGUAACGGCCUACCAAGGCGACGAUCAGUAGCCGACCUGAGAGGGUGACCGGCCACAUUGGGACUGAGACACGGCCCAAACUCCUACGGGAGGCAGCAGUGGGGAAUAUUGCACAAUGGGCGAAAGCCUGAUGCAGCGACGCCGCGUGAGUGAAGAAGUAUUUCGGUAUGUAAAGCUCUAUCAGCAGGGAAGAAAACGACGGUACCUGACUAAGAAGCCCCGGCUAACUACGUGCCAGCAGCCGCAGUAA